rnacentral:rRNA from 1 species
AGAGUUUGAUCAUGGCUCAGAUUGAACGCUGGCGGCAGGCCUAACACAUGCAAGUCGAGCGGUAGAGAGAAGCUUGCUUCUCUUGAGAGCGGCGGACGGGUGAGUAAUGCCUAGGAAUCUGCCUGGUAGUGGGGGAUAACGUUCGGAAACGGACGCUAAUACCGCAUACGUCCUACGGGAGAAAGCAGGGGACCUUCGGGCCUUGCGCUAUCAGAUGAGCCUAGGUCGGAUUAGCUAGUUGGUGAGGUAAUGGCUCACCAAGGCGACGAUCCGUAACUGGUCUGAGAGGAUGAUCAGUCACACUGGAACUGAGACACGGUCCAGACUCCUACGGGAGGCAGCAGUGGGGAAUAUUGGACAAUGGGCGAAAGCCUGAUCCAGCCAUGCCGCGUGUGUGAAGAAGGUCUUCGGAUUGUAAAGCACUUUAAGUUGGGAGGAAGGGUUGUAGAUUAAUACUCUGCAAUUUUGACGUUAACGACAGAAUAAGCACCGGCUAACUCUGUGCCAGCAGCCGCGGUAAUACAGAGGGUGCAAGCGUUAAUCGGAAUUACUGGGCGUAAAGCGCGCGUAGGUGGUUUGUUAAGUUGGAUGUGAAAUCCCCGGGCUCAACCUGGGAACUGCAUUCAAAACUGACUGACUAGAGUAUGGUAGAGGGUGGUGGAAUUUCCUGUGUAGCGGUGAAAUGCGUAGAUAUAGGAAGGAACACCAGUGGCGAAGGCGACCACCUGGACUAAUACUGACACUGAGGUGCGAAAGCGUGGGGAGCAAACAGGAUUA